GCCAGAUGUAUGCCUGUAAUCCCAGCACUUUGGGAGGCUGAGGCGAGCAGAUCACUUGAGAUCAGGAGUUCGAGACCAACCUGGCCAACAUGGUGAAACCCCAUCCUGGGCGUUGUGGCACGCACCUGUAAUCCCAGCUACUUUUUGGGAGGCUGAGGCAGGAGAAUUGCUUGAACCCAGUAGGCGNNNNNNNNNNAAGUAGCUGGGAUUACAGGUGCGUGCCACAACGCCCAGGAUGGGGUUUCACCAUGUUGGCCAGGUUGGUCUCGAACUCCUGAUCUCAAGUGAUCUGCUCGCCUCAG
rnacentral:SRP_RNA from 1 species